UCGAUUAUCCCUGUUACAUAUGACAGAAAGUCUUGGACCUGUCUGACCAUCUGAGCAGAGAUGAAUUACUCUGGCAAUAAAAGAUGUUGGCUGGCAUCUGAUUUCUUAUGCAUUUCUCCAAGAUAGGAAAGCAUUGGUUUUGCAAUUGUUUUAUUUUAGACAUACCUGUAAGUUCCAUCAGGAAGUGAGGACAUUAUGAUGUAUCAAGCUCUUGUGUCCUUAGAAUCCCAUGCUGGAAUUUCAUCUUCUGCUGUAGGUCUGCCCGCUUUACAUAAAGACAAUAGCCCCAAAGAUGUCAACGUAAGACCUAGUUGGCAGAACAAACUUGAAUAAUUUUUCCCAUUCGGUUUGGGAAUGGUCAGCUCUGUGUCACAGGACAUUGCCAUAAUUCCUUUGUUCUCCACACAUGGCCUGGUGCUUUGAUCUACUUUAAUCCUUUCACAGAUCUCUUAAAACAAUCUUGACUCCCAUGUUUGGAGAUCUUGACUUAAGGAGCACAUGCACCAAUGGCUUAGAGAAAGACACUGAGAUUUAUUGUACAAACUUCAUUCUGAGAUAGGAAAGUUACUUAGUGAGCUGAUCUAACCUAGCUACAUAUUGGAAAAUUGAGAGAGGACUGCUGGAAAGAAGAAGAGGUGGAGAAACAUCCCCAAGAGUAUCUGUUUACAUCACAGAAGGUUCAGGAUAGGUAGACAUAAAGGGGGGUACUUCAGGUCACUAUCUCACCUUACUACUAUUGUCCACUUUGAGGCAUUCAUCGCUCUUGGGUGCUAAAAAUCAUUGUAGAUGGAGAUGCUGAAGCGCAUCUGUACUGGGCUCUCCUUCCCCAUCUUUCCACACAGUUGAUAAAUACUAAGCCACUCUCCUUUAGCAACUCUCUGUAAAUCCAGAAUCUAUUUUAAGCAAUCAGGAUGGAUGGGGCGGCGGCAGCAAAGCACAAUAACAGCAACAACAUUAUCAUUAAAAAGCUUGUAGUUGGAAGGAGCUAGUAAUGAAUCCUUAAACGUGUUUGUUAAAAUAUUUCCAGGACAACGUUAGGAGAAAAUAUAGAUCAGUGACAAGAAUGAUUCUGGCAAGGAAUUAAAACACAUUAUGAGAAACCUCCAGGCACAGAGGAAGAACAGGUUGAGAAGGGAAAGUAAUUGUCUCAUAAGGAUGAAAUGUGGCAAAGAUAAAUGACUCCACUAAGGAUCGGCGGUUCAGAUGAGAGCAGGAAUUAGGCUUCUUACUGCCAGGGAGGCAGCAGGUAGUCAACUGGCACUUGGUGGCAUUUUUAGAUUGAAUGGAGGGUGGUGAACAAAUUGCAUCCUGAUUCAGAACAGACUAUUUGGAAACAGAGGAACCAGUUAAUCAAGUUAAUGGUCACAUUCAAACAGUAGAGGUCUGCAAAUGCAAAGAGGACCUGCAAAAGAGGACUCCAGGCCCAGGAAAUUCAGCACCAAAAUGUGAGAUCCAGGAAUGAGCCAUGGUGACAUCACAU